UACGGAGGGGGCUAGCGUUGUUCGGAAUUACUGGGCGUAAAGCGCACGUAGGCGGCUUUGUAAGUUUGAGGUGAAAGCCCGGGGCUCAACUCCGGAAUUGCCUUUAAGACUGCAUCGCUAGAAUUGUGGAGAGGUAAGUGGAAUUCCGAGUGUAGAGGUGAAAUUCGUAGAUAUUCGGAAGAACACCAGUGGCGAAGGCGACUUACUGGACACAUAUUGACGCUGGGGUGCGAAAGCGUGGGGAGCAAACAGG
rnacentral:rRNA from 1 species